UACGUAGGGGGCUAGCGUUGUCCGGAUUUAUUGGGCGUAAAGAGCGUGUAGGCGGCCAGGUAGGUCUGGUGUGAAAACUCGAGGCUUAACCUCGAGAUGUCAUCGGAAACCAUCUGGCUAGAGUCCGGAAGAGGAGAGUGGAAUUCCUGGUGUAGCGGUGAAAUGCGCAGAUAUCAGGAAGAACACCAAUGGCGAAAGCAGCUCUCUGGGACGGUACUGACGCUGAGACGCGAAAGCGUGGGGAGCAAACGGG
rnacentral:rRNA from 1 species